rnacentral:rRNA from 1 species
CCUACGGGUGGCAGCAGUGGGGGAUAUUGGACAAUGGGGGAAACCCUGAUCCAGCGACGCCGCGUGAGUGAAGAAGUAUUUAGGUAUGUAAAGCUCUAUCAGCAGGGAAGACAGAAAUGACGGUACCUGAGUAAGAAGCCUCGGUUAACUACGUGCCAGCAGCCGCGGCAAUACGUAGGGGGCAAGCGUUAUCCGGAAUUACUGGGUGUAAAGGGAGCGUAGACGGUAAUGCAAGUCUGGAGUGAAAGGCGGGGGCCCAACCCCCGGACUGCACUGGAAACUGGGUAACUGGAGUGCAGGAGAGGCAGGCGGAAUUCCUGGUGUAGCGGUGAAAUGCGUAGAUAUCAGGAAGAACACCGCUGGCGAAGGCAGCCUGCUGGACUGUAACUGACGUUGAGGCUCGAAAGCGUGGGGAGCAAACAGGAUUAGAUACCCGGGUAGUC